CCAAAAUUACUAUAUGCCUUUCAUUUUGUAGCUUUGGAUGACAGCGGCUCACGUUUGGCGUUGCUUGACAACACUUGGAGGCAGGAUAAAAAGCUCCAGGAACAAUUUCUUUAGAGUAUCUUCUCUAAUCACCUUUCCAUUAAUACAACCUGGACUGGUGUAGGGAAUCAAGCAUGUUUUAGAGACCUGUUUCUGAGACCAUUGUUCAAAGAGCCAUCCGAAAGAACCCGGCAAAACCAGGAUGCCACUGAUGGGGCUGUCCAGGUUAAUGUUACGCGUUACCUGAAAGGAGCAUCUGACCGUGAAUGUGGAAAAAGGCGACCCCUUAAACCGAGGCUGACUACUUUCUUUAUCCUGCAGUCAGUAACAUCAAGAACCCUAAAGAAGCCUGAAGUGUCACACUACACUCAACCAAUCCACACUUCACUGUGAAAAUUACUUUUCUUUUUUUUCCAAAUUACCUGUGACCCUGCCUUGAUGGCAGCUCCUCGGAUAGAUACAGAAUGGCGAGGUUGUUUGUCCUUUAUACAGGUGCACGAGAUAAAGUACUGAUCAUAAGCGCCUCAUGCUUAUACAUUACAUUAAUGUGGAUCUUCGUUUUAAUAUCUUAAAUGUCUUUUACUGUUUUUUUUAGUCAUGUGGAUUUGUUUUUCUAUCAGUCUGUUUAUGUUGAUGUGUGUGGUUAUAAGCUACUGGGACCUUGAAUUUCCCAUUGAGGAUCAAUAAAG